CCAGUACCCAAGCCAUUUACAAAAAUUGUUACUGGAAAAAAAGUUUGUAUUCUGUCUAAAAAGAUACCAGGGUACGUAUCCAUAUAUAAGGCACAUAUUAAGCAUAUUACACAUGCUUAACAUGUGUAAGUACUUCUUCUUUAAAUUUGAUACCUGUAACAUAGUGACAACCAAAAUAUUGGAAAGCACUUAAGCACUCCUCCUUUUGGAAAGACUAUAUCACUGUUUGGUUAGUUUACCAUCACAGUUGAAAACCAGAAUGGGAUUUCUCAAAACAAGAGGAGCUGACCAAAGUAGAGUCUCAAGAUGAUUGCUUUUUCUUAGCUGCCAGUUGAUAUGAAAUAAAUAUUUUUCUGGCACAUAAAGAUAAGGAUUGAUGAAUUUAGCCAAUACUCUAAUAUGCCCUCAAAUUUCAAUAUCUAUACCAUGAUAGAUGAAAC
rnacentral:lncRNA from 1 species